rnacentral:rRNA from 2 species
UUAAGUUAGAAAGGGCGCACGGUGGAUGCCUUGACACUAGGAGUCGAUGAAGGACGGGACUAACGCCGAUAUGCUUCGGGGAGCUGUAAGUAAGCUUUGAUCCGAAGAUUUCCGAAUGGGGAAACCCACUAUACGUAAUGGUAUGGUAUCCUUACCUGAAUACAUAGGGUAUGGAAGACAGACCCAGGGAACUGAAACAUCUAAGUACCUGGAGGAAGAGAAAGCAAAUGCGAUUUCCUGAGUAGCGGCGAGCGAAACGGAAUCUAGCCCAAACCAAGAGGCUUGCCUCUUGGGGUUGUAGGACAUUCUAUACGGAGUUACAAAGGAACGAGGUAGACGAAGCGACCUGGAAAGGUCCGUCGUAGAGGGUAACAACCCCGUAGUCGAAACUUCGUUCUCUCUUGAAUGUAUCCUGAGUACGGCGGAACACGUGAAAUUCCGUCGGAAUCUGGGAGGACCAUCUCCCAAGGCUAAAUACUCCCUAGUGAUCGAUAGUGAACCAGUACCGUGAGGGAAAGGUGAAAAGCACCCCGGAAGGGGAGUGAAAGAGAUCCUGAAACCGUGUGCCUACAAAUAGUCAGAGCCCGUUAAUGGGUGAUGGCGUGCCUUUUGUAGAAUGAACCGGCGAGUUACGAUCCCGUGCGAGGUUAAGUUGAAGAGACGGAGCCGCAGCGAAAGCGAGUCUGAAUAGGGCGUUUAGUACGUGGUCGUAGACCCGAAACCAGGUGAUCUACCCAUGUCCAGGUUGAAGUUCAGGUAACACUGAAUGGAGGCCCGAACCCACGCACGUUGAAAAGUGCGGGGAUGAGGUGUGGGUAGCGGAGAAAUUCCAAUCGAACCUGGAGAUAGCUGGUUCUCCCCGAAAUAGCUUUAGGGCUAGCCUUAAGUGUAAGAGUCUUGGAGGUAGAGCACUGAUUGAACUAGGGGUCCUCAUCGGAUUACCGAAUUCAGUCAAACUCCGAAUGCCAAUGACUUAUCCUUAGGAGUCAGACUGCGAGUGAUAAGAUCCGUAGUCAAGAGGGAAACAGCCCAGAUCGCCAGCUAAGGUCCCAAAGUGUGUAUUAAGUGGAAAAGGAUGUGGAGUUGCUUAGACAACUAGGAUGUUGGCUUAGAAGCAGCCACCAUUUAAAGAGUGCGUAAUAGCUCACUAGUCGAGUGACUCUGCGCCGAAAAUGUACCGGGGCUAAAUACACCACCGAAGCUGCGAAUUGAUACCGAUGGUAUCAGUGGUAGGGGAGCGUUCUAAGUGCAGUGAAGUCAGACCGGAAGGACUGGUGGAGCGCUUAGAAGUGAGAAUGCCGGUAUGAGUAGCGAAAGACGGGUGAGAAUCCCGUCCACCGAAUGCCUAAGGUUUCCUGAGGAAGGCUCGUCCGCUCAGGGUUAGUCAGGACCUAAGCCGAGGCCGACAGGCGUAGGCGAUGGACAACAGGUUGAUAUUCCUGUACCACCUCUUUAUCGUUUGAGCAAUGGAGGGACGCAGAAGGAUAGAAGAAGCGUGCGAUUGGUUGUGCACGUCCAAGCAGUUAGGCUGAUAAGUAGGCAAAUCCGCUUAUCGUGAAGGCUGAGCUGUGAUGGGGAAGCUCCUUAUGGAGCGAAGUCUUUGAUUCCCCGCUGCCAAGAAAAGCUUCUAGCGAGAUAAAAGGUGCCUGUACCGCAAACCGACACAGGUAGGCGAGGAGAGAAUCCUAAGGUGUGCGAGAGAACUCUGGUUAAGGAACUCGGCAAAAUGACCCCGUAACUUCGGGAGAAGGGGUGCUUUCUUAACGGAAAGCCGCAGUGAAUAGGCCCAAGCGACUGUUUAGCAAAAACACAGGUCUCUGCGAAGCCGUAAGGCGAAGUAUAGGGGCUGACACCUGCCCGGUGCUGGAAGGUUAAGGAGAGGGGUUAGCGUAAGCGAAGCUCUGAACUGAAGCCCCAGUAAACGGCGGCCGUAACUAUAACGGUCCUAAGGUAGCGAAAUUCCUUGUCGGGUAAGUUCCGACCCGCACGAAAGGUGUAACGAUUUGGGCACUGUCUCAACCAGAGACUCGGUGAAAUUAUAGUACCUGUGAAGAUGCAGGUUACCCG